UACGAAGGUGGCAAGCGUUGUUCGGAUUUACUGGGCGUACAGGGAGCGUAGGCGGUUGGAUAAGCCCUCCGUGAAAUCUCCAGGCUUAACCUGGAAAGUGCAGAGGGGACUGUUCAGCUAGAGGAUGGGAGAGGAGCGCGGAAUUCCCGGUGUAGCGGUGAAAUGUGUAGAGAUCGGGAGGAACACCGGUGGCGAAGGCGGGUCUCUGGGCAUCUCCUGACGCUGAGGCGCGAAAGCGUGGGGAGCAAACGGG
rnacentral:rRNA from 1 species